AACGAACGCUGGCGGCAUGCCUAACACAUGCAAGUCGAACGAAGGCUUCGGCCUUAGUGGCGCACGGGUGCGUAACGCGUGGGAAUCUGCCCUUGGGUUCGGAAUAACAGUUGGAAACGACUGCUAAUACCGGAUGAUGACUUCGGUCCAAAGAUUUAUCGCCCAGGGAUGAGCCCGCGUAGGAUUAGCUUGUUGGUGAGGUAAAGGCUCACCAAGGCGACGAUCCUUAGCUGGUCUGAGAGGAUGAUCAGCCACACUGGGACUGAGACACGGCCCAGACUCCUACGGGAGGCAGCAGUGGGGAAUAUUGGACAAUGGGCGAAAGCCUGAUCCAGCAAUGCCGCGUGAGUGAUGAAGGCCUUAGGGUUGUAAAGCUCUUUUACCCGGGAAGAUAAUGACUGUACCGGGAGAAUAAGCCCCGGCUAACUCCGUGCCAGCAGCCGCAGUAACAC
rnacentral:rRNA from 1 species